UACGUAGGAGACGAGCGUUGUCCGGAUUUACUGGGCGUAAAGGGCGCGCAGGCGGCUGCUCAAGUCAGGCGUGAAAGGCCUGGGCUCAACCCGGGAAUUGCGCUUGAGACUGGGCUGGCUUGAGUGCGGGAGAGGAUGGUGGAAUUCCCAGUGUAGCGGUGAAAUUCGUAGAUAUCGAUCGGAACACCCGUGGCGAAGGCGGCUUGCUGGCUCGCAACUGACGCUGAGGCGCGAAAGCGUGGGGAGCAAACAGG
rnacentral:rRNA from 1 species